rnacentral:rRNA from 1 species
GCGAAAGCGUGGGUAGCGAACAGGAUUAGAUACCCUGGUAGUCCACGCCGUAAACGAUGACAACUAGCUGUUAGGAGACUAUGUCUUUUAGUGGCGCAGCUAACGUUUUAAGUUGUCCGCCUGGGGAGUACGGCCGCAAGGCUAAAACUCAAAUGAAUUGACGGGGACCCGCACAAGCGGUGGAGCAUGUGGUUUAAUUCGAUGCAACGCGAAAAACCUUACCUACUCUUGACAUACUUGGAAGCUCUUGUAAUGAGAGUGUGCUUUUAAGAACCAAGAUACAGGUGCUGCAUGGCUGUCGUCAGCUCGUGUCGUGAGAUGUUCCGUUAAGUCGGAUAACGAGCGCAACCCUUACCCUUAUUUGCCAGCGAUUCGGUCGGGAACUAUAAGGGGACUGCCGGUGAUAAACCGGAGGAAGGUGAGGACGACGUCAAGUCAUCAUGGCCCUUACGAGUAGGGCUACACACGUGAUACAAUGGGAGAGACAGACGGACGCUAAGCCGCGAGGUGGUGCUAAUCCUAGAAACUCUCUCGUAGUCCGGAUUGGAGUCUGCAACUCGACUCCAUGAAGUUGGAAUUGCUAGUAAUCGCGGAUCAGCAUGCCGCGGUGAAUACGUUCUCGGGUCUUGUACACACCGCCCGUCACACCAUGGAAGUGGAUUGCACCAG